rnacentral:rRNA from 1 species
CGACCUUGAGCAAAUCCCAAAAAUAACGUCCCAGUUCGGAUUGUAGCCUGCAACCCGGCUACAUGAAGCUGGAAUCGCUAGUAAUCGCAGAUCAGAAUGCUGCGGUGAAUACGUUCCCGGGUCUUGUACACACCGCCCGUCACACCAUGGGAGCCGGGAAUGCCCGAAGUCGGUGAACCCAACCGUAAGGAGGGAGCCGCCGAAGGCAGGCCUGGUAACUGGGGUGAAGUCGUAACAAGGUAAC